rnacentral:rRNA from 1 species
CCUACGGGUGGCAGCAGUCGAGAAUCAUUCACAAUGGGGGAAACCCUGAUGGGGCGACGCCGCGUGGGGGAAGGAAGGUCUGCGGAUUGUAAACCCCUGUCAUGGGGGAGCAAAUUAAAAAGAGAGUACCACAAGAGGAAGAGACGGCGAACGCUGAGCCAGCAGCCGCGGUAAUACAGAGGCCUCAAGCGUUGUUCGGAAUCACUGGGCGUAAAGCGUGCGUAGGCUGUUUCGUAAGUCGUGUGUGAAAGGCGCGGGCUCAACCCGCGGACGGCACCUGAUACUGCUAGACUAGAGUAAUGGUGUGGGAACCGGCAUUCUCGGUGUAGCCG